rnacentral:lncRNA from 1 species
AGUGUUGAUUUGACUGCUCUGUUGACUUUGAAGUAAAUUCAAAGUAAAUACAUUUUGGUUGCAUCUGAGAACAGGUGCGUUUUGAGAUUCUCCGUGUUGGUGUAGUUGGGCAGGGCUGCCUCACAAUGUGCUGUGCAUGUGACAUUUGCUCCCGUGUCACGUUUGCCUAAUGCUCUGUCACAUGAAUGCCGUUCAAGCUCUGUUUUGCUACUAAGAACUUAAAAGUAAUAGUCAACAUUUGAGAUGCAAUGGUCAGAGGAUAUUGUGCUGUUGCCAUCUAAAAUGUUACUGUUUCUUACUUUUAAGACUAUUAACACGUUUACAAACGUGCCUUAUAACACAGUACUUAUUGGGUUUGUGUAUUUUGUGUUAAUCACCUAAUAUCAUUCCUUUGGAUUAAGGUCUCUUUUGGACCAUAAACAGAAGUAUCUUACCAGCUAUGCAAGUCUAUUUGUGUCAGUAUCCUUAGUGUUUUUGAUUUAUAUUUUAAAAUAAAAUUCCUGUUUUUCUAUGGCUAUUUAAUUGAAACAGUAUGAUACUCCUUCCUAACACUGGCUAAAAUAAAGCAAUUUCUCUUCCUUCUCUGUUCUAAUUUUCUCCCAUUUUUCUUCAACAGGCUAUUCUAGGGAAGAGUAUUUUUCUAGGUCUCAAAGCAAUUUUAUUUAAAAAAUUGUAUGUGAAGAAUUUAUUUGACAGCUGAGGUUUCAAGAACAUUUAAAAGUACUGUAUGAUAGUGUAUUUUCUGAAGUUUUACUUUUUAAAUAAUCAUUGUUCUAUGUAAAGGUAUACUUACAUAGGUCCCCUAAGAAUAAAAAGAAU